CCUACGGGGCGCUGCAGUGAGGAAUAUUGGUCAAUGGACGAGAGUCUGAACCAGCCAAGUAGCGUGAAGGAUGACUGCCCUAUGGGUUGUAAACUUCUUUUAUAUGGGAAUAAAACAGGGUAUGCAUACCCUCUUGUAUGUACCAUAUGAAUAAGGAUCGGCUAACUCCGUGCCAGCAGCCGCGGUAAUACGGAGGAUCCGAGCGUUAUCCGGAUUUAUUGGGUUUAAAGGGAGCGUAGGUGGAUUGUUAAGGCAGUUGUGAAAGUUUGCGGCUCAACCGUAAAAUUGCAGUUGAAACUGGCAGUCUUGAGUACAGUAGAGGUGGGCGGAAUUCGUGGUGUAGCGGUGAAAUGCUUAGAUAUCACGAAGAACUCCGAUUGUGAAGGCAGCUCACUGGACUGCAACUGACACUGAUGCUCGAAAGCGCGGGUAUCGAACAGGAUUAGAUACCCUUGUAGUC
rnacentral:rRNA from 1 species